rnacentral:rRNA from 1 species
UUCCGGUUGAUCCUGCCGGACCUGACUGCUAUCGGAUUGAUACUAAGCCAUGCGAGUCUAAGGGAUCUUCGGAUCCCUGGCGUAAUGCUCAGUAACACGUGGAUAAUCUACCCUCAGGUGGGGCAUAAACCCGGGAAACUGGGGCCAAUUCCCCAUAGAUACAGAUGGCUGGAAUGCUUCUGUAUUCAAAGCUCCGGCGCCUGAGGAUGGGUCUGCGGCCUAUCAGGUUGUAGUCAGGGUCAAGACCUGACUAGCCAGCGACGGGUAUGGGGUGUGAGAGCACUUGCCCAGAGAUGGUUUCUGAGACACGAAACCAGGCCCUACGGGGCGCAGCAGGCGCGAAAACUUCGCAAUGCGGGAAACCGUGACGAGGGAACUCCAAGUGUCUAUGCAUUGCAUAGACUGUUUUUUAGCCUAAAUAGCUAUUAGAGUAAGGGGUGGGCAAGACCGGUGCCAGCCGCCGCGGUAACACCGACACCUCGAGUGGUAGCCACUAUUAUUGGGCCUAAAGCGUUCGUAGCCGGUUUGGUAAAUUCUUGGGUAAAUCGUACCGCUUAACGGUGCGGAUUCCGGGGACACUACCAGACUUGAGACCGGGGGAGAUCAGAGGUACUUGCGGGGGAGCGGUGAAAUGUUGUAAUCCCGCAGGGACCACCAGUGGCGAAGGCGUCUGAUCAGAACGGCUCUGACGGUGAGGAACGAAACCCUGGGGCGCAAACGGGAUUAGAUACCCCGGUAGUCCAGGGCGUAAACGCUGCUGACUUGGUGUUGGGGAUCCUACGAGGAUGUCCAGUGCUGGCGCGAAGGUAUUAAGUCAGCCGCCUGGGGAGUACGGUCGCAAGACUGAAACUUAAAGGAAUUGGCGGGGAGCACUGCAACGUGUGGAGCGUGCGGUUUAAUUGGAUUCAACGCCGG